AGUGAACGCUGGCGGCGUGCUUAACACAUGCAAGUCGAACGAGAACGGAUUAUAGCUUGCUAUAAUUGUCAGCUAAGUGGCGCACGGGUGAGUAAUGUAUAGGUAAUAUGCCUCUUACUAAGGGAUAACAAUUGGAAACGAUUGCUAAUACCUUAUAUUCCUUUUUAUCAAAAGAUAAAAAGGGAAAGAUUUAUUGGUAAGAGAUUAGCCUGUAUUGUAUCAGUUAGUUGGUGGGGUAAUGGCCUACCAAGACAAUGACGCAUAACUGGUUUGAGAGGAUGAUCAGUCACACUGGAACUGAGACACGGUCCAGACUCCUACGGGAGGCAGCAGUGGGGAAUAUUGCACAAUGGACGAAAGUCUGAUGCAGCAACGCCGCGUGGAGGAUGACACAUUUCGGUGCGUAAACUCCUUUUAUAUAAGAAGAUAAUGACGGUAUUAUAUGAAUAAGCACCGGCUAACUCCGUGCCAGCAGCCGCCGUAACAC
rnacentral:rRNA from 1 species